GGACCCGCACAAGCAGUGGAACAUGUGGUUUAAUUCGAUAGUCCACGAAAACCUUACCAAAUCUUGACAUCCUGAUUACUGGUGUAGAAAUACACUAUACAUUUAGUUGAGUCAGAGACAGGUGAUGCAUGGCCGUCGUCAGCUCGUGCCGUGAGGUGUUAGGUUAAGUCCUUUAACGAGCGCAACCCACGUCUUUAUUUGCUAACAGGUAAUGCUGAGAACUAUAAAGAGACCGCUAUUGAUAAAAUAGAGGAAGGUGUGGAUGAUGUCAGGUCAUCACGUCCCUUAUGAUUUGGGCUACACAUGUGUUACAAUGGUGAUUACAAAGAGAUGCAAUGAUGUGAAUCGGAGCCAAUCUUAAAAAUCAUCUCAGUUCGGAUUACAGGCUGCAACUCGCCUGUAUGAAGUUGGAAUUGCUAGUAAUCGUAGAUCAGCACGCUA
rnacentral:rRNA from 1 species